GUGCUUUUUAUACUGAGACCUAGUUCCAUACUUUCAAGUACACACUUUAGCUAUCAAGGGGUAGGCUGCUUCUUAAGGACAUAAAUAAACCUCUUUUCCAGGAUAGGUAUAAAUAGAAUCCUGACAAAUGAAUCUGCUAAUUGGUCUUUUCUGCUUCAGACAUUAGCUAAUAGUUAGCCAGAACAUACAUACCGUUAAGCUUUCCACAUUUCCUGGCUGAAUGACUUCAUAUUCAUGCACCUGCUAGUGUCCACUGGAAAAGAUUUCUUGACUAAUGGUAAAGUGUAAGCUAAGUUUUGGAGUCUUACAUUCUUGCAAAAGGUAUCCUUCCCGAAUCCCAGGGGUAUACAUCUGAACCCCAUAACACUAUCUCUGGCAAUUGCUGGGCUUUUUGACUGAAGUUCUAGAGCAGAGUGUCAACUCUGAUUGGUAGAUGUGGAAUUGGAGGAAGUGAUGCAAGACAAAAUGCCUUUAAAAGAGAAAGGGCUACACAGAGUGGUGAUUCUUGGAGCAGAGAUAAACUUGGACUUCCACUUCUGCUGGAUAUCAGUUCUUCAUGCUUUCAAGUUGAGUCUGGUGAAGAGAGGCAGAAGAAUCUGCUGACUGGACUGACACUUGGUGCCACGGGCAUGAGAGUGCUGGCUGAGUUCAGAGUGCAGCAGAGGAGAUUUUUGAUUCAAGAAAAAUUUCAAUCAAAUGCCAAAAAGUUUAAUGCAGAAGAUAUAAAGUAUCUUCCUUCUCUUUGCUUUAAUUUGCUGUAAAUAAGGAGGAAUUCUAUUUGGACUACUCUUCUGCUUUAACAACUGCAUCCUGUGAUCAAAUGUGAUCGACUUUGCUACUAAAGGCAAUGAUCCAGGACAACAUUGAAGGACUUAUGAGGAAGAAUGCUAUCCACGUCUAGAUAAAGAACCGUGGGAGUAGAAAUCUAGAAGAAAAUAUGUGAUUUAUCACUUGUUUUUAUGGGCAUGUGAUUUCGAG
rnacentral:lncRNA from 1 species